CCUACGGGAGACAGCAGUCGAGAAUCAUUCACAAUGGGGGAAACCCUGAUGGUGCGACGCCGCGUGGGGGAAUGAAGGUCUUCGGAUUGUAAACCCCUGUCAUGUGGGAGCAAAUUAAAAAGAUAGUACCACAAGAGGAAGAGACGGCUAACUCUGUGCCAGCAGCCGCGGUAAUACAGAGGUCUCAAGCGUUGUUCGGAAUCACUGGGCGUAAGGGGUGCGUAGGCUGUUUCGUAAGUCGUGUGUGAAAGGCGCGGGCUCAACCCGCGGACGGCACAUGAUACUGCGAGACUGGAGUAAUGGAGGGGGAACCGGAAUUCUCGGUGUAGCAGUGAAAUGCGUAGAUAUCGAGAGGAACACUCGUGGCGAAGGCGGGUUCCUGGACAUUAACUGACGCUGAGGCACGAAGGCCAGGGGAGCGAAAGGGAUUAGAUACCCCUGUAGUC
rnacentral:rRNA from 1 species